CAGAGUCCUUGAGUGAACAGCCAAGGUAAACAAAGAAAACAAAACAAAAUAAUCCUUCCAGGAGAGCCCCAAGUGAACUCAUCUUGUUCUUCUCCAGUCAAAAUGAACGUUCAGUGAGAUCUGAAAAAUGUGCAGAGUGGGUUUCCAGCACCCAAAGCCUGGGAUGGGCCUGGAGAUGCGGCAUGAAUGCGCCCAGCAGCAGCACACGCAGGCUGUAACAACACAUGAUUGCCUUGAAUUAGGCCAAUUUCCAUGGCUCAGCGUUGAUGCACACACUCCUCAUGAUAAGGUGCUCAGAGGCUGCCAGAAACUGAGAGCAAGGUGCAGUUUCUGCAGUAAAGUGCAGCACAGCAAUCAGCCCCCAGAGGCAUUGCUCCUUGAGGGAAUGCAUGACGCCAGCACACCAAAUCAACAUUUCCAUCUCUUCUUAGUGUAGAUGUGAAAUUGGAACAAUCAGAACCCUUUCCUUCUGCAGAAGCACAGGCAUCCAGAUGACAUUUAUGGUGCUUGGCAGGACCUGCAGCUUGCUUGCAAACAGUACAUUCAUUUGGUUGUCAUUGAUUCGGGUGGAUCCUUCAGGAUAGCGAUUGUGGCAAGGGGCUGAGGAGAUUUGUCCUUGCUUGCAUCAGCUGCAGCAGUGACAUGGUAAGCUAUAAUAUUACAGUGAUCCUAAUAACGUUGCACACAAGUUAUGUCAAUGAAGUAACAGUUAAUAAGUUAGUGGCAACUUAGUGCUGGAGCCCUGGGAAAAGGAAUGUCCAAGGGUACCCAGUGUGCCCAAGAAGUCUCACGGUUGACUUUGCAUGUGAUUCUGCUACAGCAUGGGCCAGCAAGGGAUUUGUCCCUGAGUCUCUGGGAAGCACAAGCCACAGAAUCAUAGAAUAGCUUAUGGUGGAAGGGGUGUUAAAGAUUAUCUUGCACUUGGCCUUGUAGACCCACUUCUCAGGCCUGUCCAGGUCCCUCUGGAUGGCAUCCCUUUCUUACAUGGUGUCCACUGUACCACUCAGCUUGGUGUCAUCAGCAAGCUUGCUGAGGGUGCACUCAAUCCCACUGUGUGUAUCACAGAUAAAGAUGUUGAAGGGCACUGUCCCAAGAUGGACCCCUGGGGGCCACCACUCCUCACUGCCUAAACCUGGACAUGGAGGCAUUGACCUCAGCCCUCUGGCUGUGACCAUCCAACCAAUUCCUUAUCCACCAAACAGUCCCUGCUUCAAACCUGUAUCUCUCCAAUUUAGAGGUAAGGAUGUGAGAUAACGAGAUAAGCCACCUCUGACUACAUCCUCACAAGCCAAUCCACGCAGAGAGCCACAAUUUAAAUUAUAUAUUUAAAAAAAUGUCUAUAAUCAUCAGAAAAUCAGAUAACAUCGUUACCACUGGAGCAGAACAGUCAAGCACAGAAGGAAAAGAGAUUCAAAAUGCGUUUGACUGCCUGACAGGGAGGAGCAACCAUCGCACUGUGCAUCCCACCCUUUCCCCCAGGCAAAUACGUGUUUUCUUCAGUUAUCAGUUGUGCAAGGAGCUGGAGAGAAGCCAAUGGAAACCAGUGACACUGAGACAUAAGCUCUGGGCUCCUGGCUGCAGGGGGGUGUGGCGAGCCCUAAAAACCCCCACCAGCUCCCAGUGGCUCUUGUAGAAAAGCUUCGGGGCUGCCCUGAACGAAGUACAAACCAUGCAAAAAAAGCAGUUUGCAUCAGGCUUGGAACCGAAUGCCGUUUGGUUGUCACCCUCCAAAAAUGUGCAAAGCUGUGCCAAGCUCCGCUGCCGGGGGACAGGACAUUAUCAUUCAUCCUUUCACUCUCCUGCAGCACGCGGCCAUUUCUACAAAUUGCCUUUGUGCAAAAACACAUGGAACAUAAAGGCGACAAUGGAGUUCAUGGAGAUGCGAGCCGCUCCUCCAGGGUUUCGGAUUUCCUGGCAGAGCUCACAUAUCCUUUGUUGCUGAAAACAGGGAUCAGCAGAGAGCACCACACCUUCAAGCGUGCACGGU
ensembl:lncRNA